GACUGAUCUAUUAAUAGGGAAAAUUUAAAAAAAUACAAAUUCUUAAAAAAAACAUUGUGCCUCCUAAUCCUACCAAUUGUCACUAAGCCAGUGCUUCCUGUGGGCGGUGCCUCCAUGCUGCAAUUUCCUAAAGCUUGAAAACAAGCGCCUAAGCUCUGUAGAAGAAACAAACAGUCAUUUUCUUAAGGGAACUAAAAAAAUGAAACCCUAAAUUCUUAAGUUUCCCUUACCCUUCUUCUUUGCUAUUCCUCAGACAGUGUGCGUGAGUCAUUUUCUUCCCCCAGUUCCUCGGAGAUCCUGUAACAAAUCCUUUUUCUUCUCCGAACUCAACCUAUCAAAACAUCAUCUCCGCCUCCUCUAACUUCUUCCCAUUUGGUCCUUUAGAACAAUGGGUUCAACCUCCGGCGAAGUUUCUUCCAUCCAAAAGGUCGGGGAGUCACAUCCUCUCCCCCAUGCAGCCACCGAAAAAUUUAUGUUUUUCUAUAGCCAACUACAUGUAUGAAAUUGAAUAAGACUACAAGAAAUUUUUUUAAAAAUCACCUCUUCAAGUGAAAUUGGAAUAGGAAAUUUGUGUUAUUCAAAGUUUCUUUUAAAAUUUAUUAAAAUUUUUAUAUUGAGCAUUUACUUGAUUGGUAUGAGAAUUGUUGCCAUACUUGAUUGGUAUGAGAAUUGUUGCCAACGUAGGAGAACAUGGGUUCAAGUGUGUUAAAGCAUAUUAUCCUCCUAUUUAUGAAAAUUCUAAAAUCUAAACAAAUAUAAUAAUGGUAAGGCACACUGUACUCACAAGGGGAGAACUCAAGUUCAAACAUUGGAGGCGAUACCCUGAACAUGAACGGUAAAACAGACAUGAAAAAUUUACAAUUUUAUAAAAAAUAAUUCUUAAAUUAAAAGAAUGCAAAGUUUCAUAAAAUUCUAAAAAAAGAAAAUUCCAAAAAGAAAUUGAAAAUCUAGAAUUAUAACAAUUAAAAAUUCCAUAAACUUCUUAAAUAUUUUUUUAAAACUUAAUUUUUAAAAAAAUUAUGAACUUUAAUGAAAAAGCUUCUGAUUUGCACUUGAAAAAUAGUUUCAUUCUAACUAUUGUACAUUAUAUUUGCUAACGCAUUCAGAUUCCCUAAUCUUACAUGUGUGAAGUCUUGUUGAGUAGAUAAUUUUAUUCAACAAUCAUUUGAAUCACCUAUUGGCUUAAGUUCAAUCUAUUAUUACAUAAAGAAGUAAUUGUAGCCUAUCACUCAGUGAAUUAUUUUUUUUUAAUGAAUAAGGAGUUGGAUGGUACGUCAAACUCACCAAAAACUUCUUUAGAUGUCAAAUUGAUAAAUUUAUUGUCGUACAAGGCCCAUAUACAUAUUAAACCCUCUCAAUGUACCAGCUUUGAGCAAAAAUUCUAGUUUUAAUUGUAUCCCCACUCUCUGUACUCCUUAGACUUUAGUCCCUCUAUUUUUAAUGUCAAGAAUUUGUUCUAUUUACUUCUCUUAUCUAAAAAUGAAAAUCAAAUGGAUGACUUUAUUAAUAUUUAAAAAGUACAAUUUAUUUGAUAGCAGACUUAACAUAUAAUUGGUAUUCCUAAGUUUGAUACUUUUUUUAAUGUGGUACCUGUGUUAUUUUUUGGUUCAAUCUGGUACUUGUAUAUAAAAAAAUUAUAUAUUUUGGUGCCCAAAAAUAACUGUGUUAACUUUUUAGUAUUUAAUUCCAGAUUUAAGGUUAAUUUGAUGUAAGUUAAUUGCUAAUAUUAUUAUGUUUGAAUUUUUCAUGAUUUUGUUAAUAGAAUACAUUUUUGUGUUAAUUGUGAAUUUGUUUAAUUUGUAAAAUACAAUCAGAUGGAUGUGAAUUAAUUCAAGCUAUAGGGUUAAUUUAAUGAAAGUUAAUUGUUAAUAUUAUUAGCUGAUUAUGUAUUUUCAUUAAAUCAACUCUAAAAUCGAAUUAAACAUUAAAAAGUUAAUAUUGUUACCUUUGGGUACCAAAAUAUAUAACAUUUGUCAAAUACAGGUAUCAAAUUGGACCAACAAAUAACACAAAUAUCACAUUAGGAAAAAAACGUAUACCAAAUUAUGUAUUAAGCCUUGCUAAUAGAUUUGAAAGACGGUAAGAAAUUUUGAUAUUUAAAAAAUAUUGAGAAAAAAGAGAGAAUAAUUUUACCUUUAAAUGGGUUUGAAUCAAUGCCAAUUUAUUAAUUAAAUAUAAACCAUUUUACAAAAUAUUUUUAGAGAAAACAAUGAAAUAAGUUUUCUAAUUUUGCAUAUAAUUUUAUUUUUAACCAAAUAUAUAUUUUUAAUGUUUCCAUUUUUCAAAAAUUUGGUGAAAUAAAAGGAAGGUCUUAACUUUUUUUAUUUUGUUUUUAGUAAUAAGUUUGGAUUAAAAAUGGUUUGGUUGUAGGGGGAUGGGAUAAGGUUUUGAAAAGUCUAUUUUUUGUGUGCAAAGUGAUAGAUGAGGACCAAAAAGAAAUCCUAUUCCAUCUUUAACACCACAAUCGACCUUACCAAAUUAUUGCUACAAAUUACUAUCUUAUUGGUUGCAGAAAAGCACAUACAACUCCACUUCAUCAAAGUUUGAAUCUGGAUGAUAAAAAGAUGGUAAAAGGGCAACAUAAAAGCCCCAAGGGAUUUAGCCCAUUGAACCCAUUUAGCUCAAUGGAUAACUUAAAAACGGACCACCUUUACACUUGUCUUGAGUGGAAACGUGACUGAUUUGAUUGAACAUAAAAAGAAAAGAGGUUGUGGCCGCCAUUAACAAGUAUUCAACAGUUAUCUUACAAAUGAAUAUGAUAGAGGAUGUCAAACCAAGAAUACGAUGUACCUAAAGUUUGGCAUUCCGCAAAAGGAUGCUAGCAUAUGAUGUGCCAAAUUGGGUAGCUCUUUCUCUUCUUUUUCACUGCAGGGUUACGUACUCGGUAAUUUUGAGUAGGUUUGAUAAAUGCAAUGAUAUCAAUUUUUACACAGAUAUGAAUAUAUAUGUAUUAUGAAAUGUAUAAAAGAAAAACACAAUGAAAUCAAUAAUUGAAGAAUUUGUCAUUUGAUGAAUGUCUCCCAUCUGCUUUUAUAUUUCAAGUACAAAAUGGUCACAUACACA
rnacentral:lncRNA from 1 species